rnacentral:rRNA from 1 species
UACGUAGGGCGCAAGCGUUGUCCGGAUUUACUGGGCGUAAAGAGCGCGCAGGCGGUCGGAUCAGUCGAAUGUGAAAGCCCCCGGCUCAACUGGGGAGGGUCAUUCGAUACUGUCCGACUCGAAGGCAGGAGAGGGAAGCGGAAUUCCCGGUGUAGUGGUGAAAUGCGUAGAUAUCGGGAGGAACACCAGUGGCGAAGGCGGCUUUCUGGCCUGUUCUUGACGCUGAGGCGCGAAAGCUAGGGGAGCGAACGG